GGCUGUUGUUCUUUUAUUAAAUCAUAGCUGGCUUCAAUGAAAAGCAGCCACUUAAUAAAGUAUAAGAUGGACAAAGACUAAGAUGGAAAAUGCCAGGAAAAGAAACCGCUGUCAGAUGACAAUGACCCAGGCAGAAAUAUGAAGAUGUCUUUAUUGGUGUUUUGUUAAGCAUAUUUUAUAGGCAUGGAGUUUUAGAGGUGAUUAUUCUAAUUUUCAUAUGCCUAUUCUAUUUUAUUAAACCAUGAGUGUUAAUAGUAUUAAGAACUCUAACACACUAUUUAAAUUCAUAACAUUAUUUGAGUGAGGUAAAGUUCUCUGAAGUAUAAAGCCUUGAUGUCUUACAGGUAGAUUAUCUCCAUUUGUGAGUCAAGAGUUGUCUGUUGUUACAAACAUUUUUUCACAGAAACUAUGUUAAAAAAUCUCAGUUCUCUAAAGCCCUCAAAAGGCUUUCCCACUCACUAUUACUUAUGGUAGAAAAUCUUAACUUGGCAAAGAUCCAAUAGGGGACACCAAAGCAUUUUUUUUUCCUUUUGGACACAUAGCUAGACUACUGUUGUGGAUUGAACUGUGUCCCCCUAAAAGAUAUGUUCAAGCCCCAGUUAAGAUGAGGUCAUAAUGAACUAGGGUGGGCUAACCCAAUGACCAGGUGUCCUUAUAAGAGGAGAAAAAACUAGAUGUAGAGACACACAGAGAGAAGAUGGCCAUGCAAAGACAGAGGCAGAAAUUGGAGUGAUGUAGCUACAAGGCAAGGGAUGCCAAUGAUUGCCAGCAACCACUAAAAGCUGGGAAGAGGCAGGGGAGGGUCCUUCUCCAGAGCCUUCAGAAGGAACAUAGCCCUGAAGACUCCGUGGUUUUGCACUUCUAGUCUUCAUAACUAAAACACAGACAUUGGAAGACGUAUGAGACUACGGAAACUAAUUUUCUCAAGGUCAACAAAUAGAGUUGGAAAAUAACGAAGGAACAAAGAAAUGCUGACAGAAAAUGAAUUUCAUACUCCAGUAGUGUUACCAAACUACAUUUCCCCAUCAUGGUAGCCUAAGCCAGGAAGUGGAGAAAAGAGAAGGAUGUCAUUAAGUGGAAAAUAAUCAGGUAAUUUACUCACUCUCUACAUUUUCCCAGAAAGAUUGUCAAUAUUUCUUCAGCAAACAUUAUUAUGCACCUGCUAAGUGCCAGCUUCUCUUCUCCUUUCUACAGAUAAAAAGAUAAUUUAGACAUGAUUCUUGCCCUCAAGGACAUGCAUAAAAAGGUACUCUCUUCUCACUGAAAAAUGUGUUCCCACUUUCACUUAAACCUAGGAAAGUUAAAACCACCCCCAGGAGGUUUCUUUAUAUUGUCUGCAGUCUUUUCUCCUGAAUAUUUUCUUUCCAGUAUUCUGGUCACA
rnacentral:lncRNA from 1 species